rnacentral:rRNA from 1 species
CCUACGGGGGGCAGCAGUGAGGAAUAUUGGUCAAUGGACGAGAGUCUGAACCAGCCAAGUAGCGUGAAGGAUGACUGCCCUAUGGGUUGUAAACUUCUUUUAUAUGGGAAUAAAAUGUUCCACGUGUGGGAUUUUGUAUGUACCAUAUGAAUAAGGAUCGGCUAACUCCGUGCCAGCAGCCGCGGUAAUACGGAGGAUCCGAGCGUUAUCCGGAUUUAUUGGGCUUAAAGGGAGCGUAGGUGGAUUGUUAAGUCAGUUGUGAAAGUUUGCGGCUCAACCGUACAAUUGCAGUUGAAACUGGCAGUCUUGAGUACAGUAGAGGUGGGCAGAAUUCGUGGUGUAGCGGUGAAAUGCUUAGAUAUCACGAAGAACUCCGAUUGCGAAGGCAGUUCACUGGACUGAAACUGACACUGAGGCUCGAAAGUGUGGGUAUCAAACAGGAUUAGAUACCCGAGUAGUC